GCCAUGAUCGUACAGUGGUUAGUACUCUGCACCGGGACUGCAGUAACCUCGGUUCGAAUCCGAGUCAUGGCA